GCUGGGCGUGGUGGUGCACACCUGUAAUCCAAGCUGCUUGGGAGGCUGAGGCAGAAGGAUUGCAGGUUUGAGGUCAGCCUGGGCAACUCAGUGAGAGCCUGUCUCAA
rnacentral:sRNA from 1 species